UACGAAGGGGGCUAGCGUUGCUCGGAAUCACUGGGCGUAAAGCGCACGUAGGCGGCUUUUUAAGUCAGGGGUGAAAUCCUGGAGCUCAACUCCAGAACUGCCUUUGAUACUGAGAAGCUUGAGUCCGGGAGAGGUGAGUGGAACUGCGAGUGUAGAGGUGAAAUUCGUAGAUAUUCGCAAGAACACCAGUGGCGAAGGCGGCUCACUGGCCCGGUACUGACGCUGGAGGUGCGAAAGCGUGGGGAGCAAACAGG
rnacentral:rRNA from 1 species